CGCCGCGUCCACAUCGUCGUCUUCCCCUUUCCUUCCGGCAACGGCGACGGUUGGCUGUCUGUCUCGACGUCACCAAUGGACUUGCGCUCCUCGUCCGGUCCUCCCCUCCUCCUCCCUCUCCACUUUUCCUCCGUGCCUUUCCCUGCCACGCUCCCUCCUGCUCCGCCGCUGUCCCCCUCUUCCCUCUGUCCGGUCGCGUCGCUCGCUACGCCGGCGUGGCCUCGUUCUCCAAUUCCAAUCACAUCACAUGUGCUACUGCGUAUCUCCCAGUACCUGCGGCCAAGCGGUGGUCGGGCUCUUGUUUGGCGGGGCGACGCUCAACUCGCCGGCGGAUGGCUGAAACAGAAUGUGACCGGCCGGACGCCGGCGCGUGUUCCUUCUUCUUCCAUGAGCACUGGGUGUGAAAGCCAGCCUCUCACGGCUGCAGACAGCCUCUUCAGCGUCCUCCAUCUUGCGCGCCGCCGGUGUCUUGUCGUUCUGUGCAGAACAUAGCCCCUUCAGUCCGACUGCAUUGCCAACGUACCAAAGAUCCAGCGUUUUAGCGGUGCAUCUCUCUUCUUACAUUGGAGUUUACAGAGAGCAUACCGCUCCUAGCAGAAGAGAGAACUCAAAAAAAAAAAA